ensembl:lncRNA
UUACAAUGUCCGUUAGUGUGUCAUCCUUGAUACCAAUGUGACACAGACAGUUUUACCAUUUCUGCCAGGCGAUGAUGGAUUCCUGUGUUGCCACGGAUGCGCAAACCCACAGCAUUGCAGACUCUGGCAAUCGGCCAUCUUCGAUUCCUAACCAGGAUGUGGAGUCAAACACAGAGGACAGCAAUGCAGGUGACAGCUUCAGAUGAACAUGGUACCUUCAGGCGUUUGGAAAUUGCUCCCAAGGAUGAACCAGACUUGUGGAGGUCUACAAUUUUUAUCUGAUUUCUUUUGAUUUCCCCAUGAUGUCAAGCAAAGAGGCACUGAGUUUCAAGGUAGGCCUUGAAAUACAUCCACAGGUACACCUCCAAUCAAAUGAUGUAAAUUAGCCCAUCAGAAGCUUCUAAAGCCAUGACAUCAUUUUCUGGAAUUUUCCAAGCUGUUUAAAG